rnacentral:rRNA from 1 species
UACGAGAGGCCCAAACGUUAUUCGGAAUCACUGGGCUUAAAGAGUUCGUAGGCGGCGCGGAAAGUGGGGUGUGAAAGCCCUCGGCUCAACCGAGGAAUUGCGCUCCAAACUGUCGCGCUUGAGGAAGCUAGAGGUAAGCAGAACUGAUGGUGGAGCGGUGAAAUGCGUAGAUAUUGGGAAGAACACCUGAGGCGAAGGCGGGUUGCUGGGCCGACACUGACGCUGAGGCGCGAAAGCCAGGGGAGCAAACGGG